GCCGGGCGCGGUGGCAUGUGCCUGUAAUCCAAGUCACUGGGAGGCUGAGGUUGGUGGAUCAAGUGAGCUGAGGAGCUCUGGGCUGCAGCACGCUACGUCGAACGGGUGUCCACGCUAAGUUCAGUAUCGAUAUGGUGAUCCUGGGGGAGCCCGGGACCACCAGGUUGUCUAAGGAGGGGUGCACCGGCCCAGGUCGGAAACGAAGCAGGUCAAAUCCCCCGUCCUGUCCGGUAGUGGGAUAAUACCUGUGAGUAGAUGCUGCAGUGCAGCCUUGGCAAGACAUUGUGACCUAACCUUUU
rnacentral:SRP_RNA from 1 species